rnacentral:rRNA from 1 species
GGGGGAUAUUGCGCAAUGGGGGCAACCCUGACGCAGCAACGCCGCGUGAAGGAUGAAGGUUUUCGGAUUGUAAACUUCUUUUAUUAAGGACGAAAAAUGACGGUACUUAAUGAAUAAGCUCCGGCUAACUACGUGCCAGCAGCCGCGGUAAUACGUAGGGAGCAAGCGUUGUCCGGAUUUACUGGGUGUAAAGGGUGCGUAGGCGGCUUUGCAAGUCAGAUGUGAAAUCUAUGGGCUCAACCCAUAAACUGCAUUUGAAACUGUAGAGCUUGAGUGAAGUAGAGGCAGGCGGAAUUCCCCGUGUAGCGGCGAAAUGCGUAGAGAUGGGGAGGAACACCAGUGGCGAAGGCGGCCUGCUGGGCUUUAACUGACGCUGAGGCACGAAAGCGUGGGUAGCAAACAGGAUUAGAUACCCUGGUAGUCCACGCUGUAAACGAUGAUUACUAGGUGUGGGGGGUCUGACCCCUUCCGUGCCGGAGUUAACACAAUAAGUAAUCCACCUGGGGAGUACGGCCGCAAGGUUGAAACUCAAAGGAAUUGACGGGGGCCCGCACAAGCAGUGGAGUAUGUGGUUUAAUUCGAAGCAACGCGAAGAACCUUACCAGGUCUUGACAUCCAACUAACGAAGUAGAGAUACAUUAGGUGCCCUUCGGGGAAAGUUGAGACAGGUGGCGCAUGGUUGUCGUCAGCUCGUGUCGUGAGAUGUUGGGUUAAGUCCCGCAACGAGCGCAACCCUUGCUAUUAGUUGCUACGCAAGAGCACUCUAAUAGGACUGCCGUUGACAAAACGGAGGAAGGUGGGGACGACGUCAAAUCAUCAUGCCCCUUAUGACCUGGGCUACACACGUACUACAAUGGAUGUUAACAGAGGGAAGCAAGACAGCGAUGUGGAGCAAACCCCUAAAAACAUUCUCAGUUCAGAUUGCAGGCUGCAACCCGCCUGCAUGAAGAUGGAAUUGCUAGUAAUCGCGGAUCAGCAUGCCGCGGUGAAUACGUUCCCG